rnacentral:rRNA from 1 species
AGUGAACGCUGGCGGUAGGCCUAACACAUGCGAGUCGAACGGCAGCACAGUAAGAGCUUGCUCUUACGGGUGGCGAGUGGCGGACGGGUGAGGAAUACAUCGGAAUCUACUUUUUCGUGGGGGAUAACGUAGGGAAACUUACGCUAAUACCGCAUACGACCUACGGGUGAAAGCAGGGGAUCUUCGGACCUUGCGCGGUUGAAUGAGCCGCUGUCGGAUUAGCUAGUUGGCGGGGUAAAGGCCCACCAAGGCGACGAUCCGUAGCUGGUCCGAGAGGAUGAUCAGCCACACUGGAACUGAGACACGGUCCAGACUCCUACGGGAGGCAGCAGUGGGGAAUAUUGGACAAUGGGCGCAAGCCUGAUCCAGCCAUACCGCGUGGGUGAAGAAGGCCUUCGGGUUGUAAAGCCCUUUUGUUGGGAAAGAAAAGCAGCAGGUUAAUACCCCGCUGUUCUGACGGUACCCAAAGAAUAAGCACCGGCUAACUUCGUG